rnacentral:hammerhead_ribozyme from 1 species
GCACUGCUGAGGAGUCCCAAAAUAGGACGAAACAGCCGUCCAAUGC